rfam:Gossypium raimondii Chr11_contig_1120, whole genome shotgun sequence.
AAAAGGAGAAUGACAAAUCAGAUUUUUUUUUUAUUUUCAGCUUUUUUCUCCUGAAAAUAUUCAAAUCCAACUAAAAAAGCUAAAAAUAAGAAGGAAAAAUCUUAUUUAUCAUUAUUCUUUU